rnacentral:lncRNA from 10 species
UCUCAAAGUUUAUAGGCGUGAUUACAGGCGUGAGCCACCGCGCUCGGCCAAAUUUUGAACCCAGUUGGUCUGGGUCUGGAGUUUAUUACUAUACUUUUGCUGCAGCCUUUGAGGACCGGAGAGGAACAUGUCAGGGGAGGAGACUGAGAACAUCUGAAAUCAUGCUGACUCAAGGGAAGGAGAUGCUUCAAUUUCCCAGGCCUUUCCCCUCGUGGCUCCUCACUGGGCUUCAUGCUCAUUACGUCUUUCCCACUCUGGUCCUACAUGGGGUUGAAGAACAGUGGGCCAUCUUCUCCCCUCAGCCCUCCCCCAACUCUUCUGCCUCCAAUCGCCCCCCACAGACUAGGUCCUUCUCCUCUCCCUAUCUCUCUUCCCUUCCCAUUCUCAGUUCAAAUGGAAGCUUCCUUGCCUCUCACCCCACUGAGUAGCUGGCCCCACUGUGUGCCCCCACAACACCCUGUUCUCACUUCUGUCUUAUCCCAACCACUCUGAGCUGUAAUUGCCAAGGAGCUUUUUUAGGACCAUGGGAUUUUUUUGUUGGUCAUGGGGGGUGGUUAUUGGUUAUUACUGUGAUAGUCAGUUUUGCUUCCAGUAGAAAGAACAACGUCAGACAUUACAGGAGACCUUCCAUACAUGUUUGUCAAGUAGGUGAAUGAUGGAUGAAUAAAAUGAGGUUGCAGGGGAAGGGCUGUGGGAAAGCUGGCCUCCCCCCUGCAAAACGUUGCUGUCUACACUCAUCCACCUUCCUUUCUCCAAUGCUGGAGAUGGAAAAGCUACAUGUUCCCUUGCGGAUAACCCUCUAAGGGCAUUGCUGGCGUUAGGCUGAUAGCACUUGGAAUAGUGGGGAGGAAUGAGGGAAUAAAUCAUGGAGCAUGGGCUUAGGGCUCACUUGUAGUAGGGUGCUCCCACGGCCUUCCUAGGCCCAGGGACAGUGAAAGAGGAAAGAUGUUUUGGGACUAAGAUUGGGGCUGUGUUGGGGACCUGAGCAGAGUGC